CCGCCCGCCCCGCCCCGUACUCACCGGGCCCCGCGGCCCCGUCCAUCCGGCCCCCGGGUUGCUCCGAGCGGCGGCGGCGGAGGAGGCGUCUAAGCCGCGGGGGCCACGGCCGGGGAGAGGGGAAGGGGAAGCACCCCGGGGCGCGCGCGAAGGGCGCCGUACCACCACCCCGAGGGGGCGCUGUCGGGCGCGGGGAAGGGGCCUGGAGGGGGCGCUGUGGGGCCGUCCGGUGCCACAGCGCCGCAGCAC
rnacentral:sRNA from 1 species